AUUGAACGCUGGCGGCAGGCCUAACACAUGCAAGUCGAACGCGUGGCGGACGGGUGAGUAAUGUCUGGGAAACUGCCUGAUGGAGGGGGAUAACUACUGGAAACGGUAGCUAAUACCGCAUACCAUCAGAUGUGCCCAGAUGGGAUUAGCUUGUUGGUGGGGUAACGGCUCACAUAGGCGACGAUCCCUAGCUGGUCUGAGAGGAUGACCAGCAACACUGGAAUGGAGACACGGUCCAGACGCCUACGGGAGGCAGCAGUGGGGAAUAGUGCACAAUGGGCGCAAGCCUGACGCAGCCAUGCCGCGUGUAUGAAGAAGACCUUCGGGUUGUAAAGUACUUUCAGCGGUGAGGCGUUACCCGCAGAAGAAGCACCGGCUAACUCCGUGCCAGCAGCCGCGGUAAUAC
rnacentral:rRNA from 1 species